UACGAGGGGUGCAAGCGUUAUUCGGAUUGAUUGGGUGUAAAGGGUGUGCAGACGGCUUAUUAAGUCACUUGUUAAAUUCUUCGGCCUAACUGAAGGUAUGCAGGUGAUACUGAUGAGCUAGAGGGUGGAAGAGAGAAGUGGAAUUCUCGGAGUAGCGGUAAAAUGCGUAGAGAUCAUGAGGAAGACCAGUGGCGAAGGCGGGUCUCUGGACAGUUCCUGACACUGAGGCACGAAGGCCAGGGGAGCAAACGGG
rnacentral:rRNA from 1 species